AGACCCUCAUUCCUUUUCUUUUCUCUCCUUUCCAGCAAAGGACCAAAACUCCGACAGCUCCGGGAGCAACCCGGCCAUCUAGGAGCCCCCAAGCAGCUUGACUCUGGGGGAGACUCUUCUCCCGAUGGAGGAAGACAAGAGGAAGAGAGGAUCCAUCCAUGAACUGAAUUCUAUCAAGUCCUUCUCAGGGACUUCUUCAGCCUGUUUCUGAUUGCAGAGAGCUUGGCUUGGCGUGAUUUGCUUUCUGGCACAGCUGCUGCCUCAAGUCGCAUUUGCCCCUUAGCUUUUUACCCCAUAAAAGAUAUCUUAGUUGAUUAACACACUAGGGGUUUAAAUCAAUUGUUGGGAGAUCAAAUUGGUUAACGCUGCAUGAAGUUGCCUAGGAGAAAACAGCAGCUCUGAAGGAGGGAAAUGCGGCCUUUCUUUUUAGAUGUCACCUGCAGAAGUGUCCCAGGGCACCAUCUCAGAAGAGGCAGAUCUCCUGCUUACGAGAGGAAACGAGAUGGGGGGUGGAGGGAGGCCCUCCUUAAGAUGCCGCCUUCCAAUUAUACCUUUAAGUUCUUCGGGAGGGGACCCUGCACUUGAGGGGCAUUUUUUUAAUCAAAGUGUUUAAUUAACCUAUCUAAACAAAGCAACUAAAUAUUGCAUCCCUAAAAAUUCAAAAUUAUGCCUCCAGUAUUAGGCUGCAACUGAUUUUUUAAAAAUUACAGAGAUAUGCAGCAGGAAAUUGCCAAAGUGUCUGUUUCCUCAUAGAAUCAUAGAGUAGUAGAGUUGGAAGGGGCCUACAAGGCCAUCGAGUCCAACCCCCUGCUCAAUGCAGGAACCCACCCUAAAGCAUCCCUGACAGAUUCUUGACCAGCUGCCUCUUGAAGGCCUCUAGUGUGGGAGAGCCCACAGCCUCCCUAGGUCACUGGUUCCAUUGUCGUACUGCUCUAACAGUCAGGAAGUUUUUCCUGAUGUCCAUCUGGAAUCUGGCUUCCUUUAACUUGAGCCCGUUAUUCCGCGUCCUGCACUCUGGGAGGAUCGAGAAGAGAUCCUGGCCCUCCUCUGUGUGACAACCUUUGAAGUAUAAGGGCCGUCUUUGUUUCCUGAAGGCUUCCAUUGGAUGGCCUUGUUCUUCAGUCCCAUUCAUUUCAAUGGGUCCCCAACAUUGGAGUCAACCUGAAUUGUUAACUAGUUGAACUUCGUUUUUCCAAGAUCGAGAGUGUUAUUAACAGGCUUCUGAAAAAGGUGUUUGAAUUGAUUAUCUCAGGGUGCGAUCUUACGCAUGCUUAGCCGUGAGUUGGUGAGCUUUUUCUCUCUCUAAACAUGCAUAGGAUUGCACCCUAAACCUCUUUUUAGUGACAUAGAGAUCCGUUGUUAACAUAUUUUGCAUUUUGAUUGAUGCUAAUGGAUGUAAAACAUUUUAAUAACCCUGCCGAGAUGGGCCAAAUUAAAGGGAUUUAUUUUCCUCCCUCCCGUGCUGUGGCUUUUGUUCUUGGGCGUCAGAAGACUCCGGUUGUCUGCAGAGCCGGGUUUUGCCACCCUCUCGGCUGGCCACUCCAGGCCUCCGCCAACAGGGCACCACGUUUGCUAACACCAAAAAGCCAGUGUAAAGGUUUUGUGGGUGGGAAGUAGGUCGUUGCAAGAGCUAAACAGACCCGAAACACUUGUUUUUUGUUGAAAGAAUAAAAAAGGCAUCAUGAAACAGGCAAAAAGCGAAAGCGCCCAGGAGUCGGAGACCCCCAGCCUCACGGCAACUUGUGGAACUGCCCGAGGACUCCGGCCCCAGCCCAGGCUGCAACUGGCGAUGGCUCCCCCAAAUCCCUCCCAGCCCUGCUCCUGGGGACCCGUUGGACUGGAUGUGCUGGGGAGGGAAUCUGGGGUGUUCGCCAUGCAAAGCCCCUGUGGGGGCCCCUCCUCUCCUCCUCCAGGCUUCGUGGGGCUGGUAAGGAGAGCAGCAAAGUCCGCUUCCGCACUGGUGGACUCGGGUCGAAGCCUUGUGCAUGGGUGGACAGUCCUGAGUGCUGCUCCCCUCACUUUAAAUGAAUUUAUUACUGCAUUUAUAGCCCACCUUUCUUCCCCUUGCAAGGAAUGCAAGAGGGCUGGCACGGUCCUCCACUCCCUGCCCCACUUUAAUCCUCACAGCAACCCUCUGAGGUAGGUUUGGCUGGGAGUCAGUAGCGUCAGAGGCAUAAAUGAUGAGGUGAAGACAGUAGCAGGGUGAGUAAAUAUAUAUAACUAUAUCAAGGAUCUGGGGAUCACUGGUUGUGUUGUACAUUAGGUGCGUCUUUAGUUGAUUCUACACAGGGUGGAUUGCUUUAUUAUUAUAUUUAUUUGUAUCCCGCUUUUUGCCCAAUACUGGGCCUCAAGGCGGCCUUACAAAAUUUAAAGUCAAGCUCACUCGAAUCCAAGACUUAAAUCGGCCAGAAAAAAAAGGAUUGAUUUAAAUCACGUGUCCCACUGAAACUUUUUCAUGUAUUUUCUGAACAAUGGUGUAAAUCUGACCACUAAGCAGUGUUAAUUUCCGAAUAAGAGUUUUAUUUACACUUUUUCAAUCUUCCAAGGAGGCCUUUGCAUUUUUCCCUCCCACUGUAUGUAUUUUGCACGCUUCUCUUUUUCUCCUAGAGAGGGAAGGGUUUGCACCCACGACAGUUUGAGGCGAAGAGCACAAUCUUCUUCAUGUCUCCUUAGAAAUUCCUUCCAUUGAGGUCAAUGGGGCUUAUUCCCAGAUCAGUGGAUAGAGGAUCACAGCCUUAGGAUGGGAAUGCAGGCACUGGGCAAUUUUGUCUUCUCUUUUUCAUUCCAGUGUUGCUGUUUUUGGCUUCACUCUGUCUUGGCCCAAAGUAGCAAAUUCCAAAGACUUAUAGAUCCAAACAAGGUUUCAUAGUAAACUUUUAAAGAUCUAAUGUUUCGGAUUUUAGUAAGCAUUCGGGUUUUAUUGUUUAUCCACACUCCUAUAUUUUGUCUUUCUUAAUUCUUUUACCUUGCUUGGCCCAACUCUCAACGGAACAAUAUUCCUACCUAGCUUGUACCUGUGACUACAGGCAGAGGAACUGAAAGGCCAGAAGAUUCAAGAGCUAAUAGUUAGGCCAGACAGAGCUAUUUUCAUGAAAUGAAAAACCGAAAUGAAUUGCCCAUGUCUGAUUGGAAGAAAACUUGAUUUUCGUGAGGCUGUCAGGGUAGGUUUAGCAUGUUUAGGGUGGGAUUUAAUUGCAACUAUGCUAUUUUUUUAAAAAUUGCAAGAGAAAUGUAGUGUUUAUUGAUGACUUUAAAAAAAUCUGAUGUUUAUUUUUUAAACAAUACCUUUUUGAAUUAAAAUAAUUCCAUUUUCCUUUGAA